CCCUGUUCAGUUGAUGCUGCUCGAUGAAUAGUAACUGUGAUGGCGCUUUUCUUCUGAAUUAAAUCUGGUGGCUUCAUGUUAGAGUUUUGACUUAAAAGAUAUGACACUUUAUGAGACUUUUUCCCGGGGUUCCAGAUACAACAAGUAGCAAGUCCAUUUCUGCAGGCUGCCAUAUGCCACAAUGAAGAAAGCCAGCUUGAAGUGCAGAAUCAAUGUGGGGAGGAGGGCUGAGCCCAGAGAGCCACAGAGAAAUUCAGAUAGAGCCCUGGUCAUACCAUACCUGAAGCCCUCAACUUCUCUGUUACAAGGGAUAGUAUGUCUUCUGAUUGUUCAAAUUGGUUUUGCAUGAGGGUCAAGCUAGAGGAUUCUCCAUGGAAGAAUUUUCUCCUCUGUGUAAGUGGGCAUGUGCUGGACAAAAACACUAUUCCUACACUGUUACCAAGCCUGCAGAGCUCCCUGUAAGAGGUUGGGGCAGGUCUGACGACUGCAAGGCUAGUCCAACUUUCCUUCAAGACGGCUCUGUUCACAAAGCUUUGCAGAUAGCAUUCUGGAAUGGUGUCGGAUACUUUAUGAAGUGCUUCACCUGCAGCCUUCUUCCAGCUGUGACGUCCUAGCUUACGAAGUUGUGAUGGCAUUUAACCCCUGAUGCGUUGACUCUCUGUAGCUCAUCUCCCUCUUGCCAUUGGAAGACACCUCCUAGAUGCCCAGGUGGCCUGUCCCCUCCCACUGGGGGACAUCUCCCAGAUGCCCAGGGCUCACACUGCACGCCACACACAGCAUGGGCAGACAGACUUGUGCGUCCGAACUCUUUGGAAAGCUGCCAUCUCAAAUACCGGCGUUUGGUGGAUGACACUUUAUAAAAAGAGUCUCUGGUCCACCUUGUUUCUGCCAGAUUAUAUCAAUGUGGAAUUAAACUCUUUCGUUUUUGUUUUUUGCUUGGGGAAAGUCAUAAUGCUUUUGAAAUAAUUUACUUUGUUUUUUUUGAUACACAGAACACUGGAAUGUGUUUUUUGAUUCUCAUUGUACCCUAAAAUGGUGUAGAACUUUCAUCCCUUCUGAAAUAAAAAAAAU
rnacentral:lncRNA from 1 species